rnacentral:rRNA from 1 species
UACGUAGGGACCAAGCGUUGUUCGGAUUUACUGGGCGUAAAGGGCGCGUAGGCGGUUUUCUAAGUUUGGUGUGAAAUCUCCCGGCUCAACUGGGAGGGUGCGCCGAAGACUGGAAGGCUUGAGUAUGGGAGAGGUAAGCGGAAUUCCUGGUGUAGCGGUGAAAUGCGUAGAUAUCAGGAGGAACACCUGCGGUGUAGACGGCUUACUGGACCAUAACUGACGCUGAGGCACGAAAGCGUGGGUAGCAAACAGG